rnacentral:sRNA from 1 species
GCUGGGCAUGGUGGCUCAUGCCUGUAAUCCCAGCACUCAGGAGGCUGAGGCAGGAGGAUCACUGUGAGUUUGAAACCAGCCUGGGCUACAUAGUGAGUUCCAGGUCAGUCUCACUACAUAGUGAGACCCUGUCUCAAAAAAACAAAAAACAAAAUAAAGACAGGGUCUUGCUGUGUAGUCUAGGCUGGUCUUGAAAUCACUGUGUACCCCAGGCUGGCCUCAAACUCAGGCAGUCUUCCUGCCUCA